UACGUAGGGGGCUAGCGUUAUCCGGAUUUACUGGGCGUAAAGGGUGCGUAGGCGGUCUUUCAAGUCAGGAGUGAAAGGCUACGGCUCAACCGUAGUAAGCUCUUGAAACUGUAAGACUUGAGUGCAGGAGAGGAGAGUGGAAUUCCUAGUGUAGCGGUGAAAUGCGUAGAUAUUAGGAGGAACACCAGUUGCGAAGGCGGCUUUCUGGACUGUAACUGACGCUGAGGCACGAAAGCGUGGGGGAGCAAACAGG
rnacentral:rRNA from 1 species